rnacentral:rRNA from 1 species
CUUUUGACUAUAAUUUAAGGUCUGACCUGCCCAAUGAGUUUAUUAAAUGGCCGCGGUAUCUUGACCGUGCAAAGGUAGCAUAAUCAUUAGNDWWUUAAUUGGAAGCUUGUAUGAAAGGUUGGAUGAGGGAAAAGCUGUCUCUUUAAAAAUUAUAUAGAACUUUAUUUUUAAGUGAAAAAGCUUAAAUAUUUAUAAAAGACGAGAAGACCCUAUAGAGUUUUAUAUUUUUUCUUUUUAAGUUUUUUAGUAUUCACAAUUUUAAUUGGAAAAAGUAUUUAAUUGGGGUGAUUGAAAAAUUGAAUUAACUUUUUUUAUAUUUUAACAUUGAUUUAUGUAUAAAUGAUCCUUUUUUUAAGAUUAAAAGAUUAAAUUACCUUAGGGAUAACAGCGUUAUUUUUUUUAAGAGUUCAAAUCGAAAAAAAAGAUUGCGACCUCGAUGUUGGAUUAAAAUUAAUUUUUGGUGCAGAAGCUAAA